AAUCAGGAAAAGCAAAAAUACAACAGCCAAAGUCAGAACCAGAAAUAGACAAAUACAAUAAUGAGCUAUAGGGAACAAAACUUGAACCACAACAGGGCAAUGGCAUAAGUCCUUAGAGACUUUUAAUAUUGUGGCUCUUUAAUUUUGUAACCACGCCCCCAAAUGUUCGAAUUCAAACAUUUUGGCAGGUCGUGAUGUAAUCGUGCAA